rnacentral:snoRNA from 1 species
AAUCCACGAUGUAGGAACUUCCUUAACAUUGUCUUGAAACCUUCUCACUUGUCAUAUAGGGAUUCACUUUCAAAUUGUUUAAAAUUUGUGAUUUCUUCCCUAAGCU